AGGAUCAGUUCAAGGAUUGGAUCAAAGUAACAAUAACAAUGACGUUUCCUGGGUUAGAAGCACGUGCCUCAAAGAGUUACAGAUAAUUCAGACACGUGACCUUCAGACCUCCUGUCUCCCCUCACUUCCCUCCCAUCUCCUCCCCCUCAGAAGCCCUGAGAUGGUCUCAGAGAUGUAAGGAAACUGAUUUUAUUCUAUAUCCUCCAUCUGAAAGGAAAAGAAAAUGAUUCUUGUGGGCUUUGGCCUUUUGUUUUUCUACAAGGGUGUGCUGUGUAACAAAGUGACCCAGACUUCCCUGGAACAGGUGGUGGCGAGUGGCAGUAAGGUGACACUGCCCUGCACUUUUGAAACCUCAUACUCAAAUCCAGACCUCUACUGGUACCGAAUACGUCCAGAUCGUACCUUCCAGUUUGUCUUGUACAGGAAUAAUACUAGGUCCUACGAUGCCAAUUUUGCUCGGGGUAGAUUUUCUGUGCAGCACAGUCUGGCCCACAAAACCUUUCACUUGGUGAUCUCCUCAGUGACAACUAAAGACACUGCCACUUACUACUGUGCCUUGGACUCCCACGGUGAUGCAGGUGCCCAGGAAGUCUGCAUACAAACCCCCCAGCACAGCCUGAUGGGGCUGCCUCCAUGGUAGCUUACGUCCCUGGACAUAGCAUCCUUCUU